UACGUAGGGUGCAAGCGUUAAUCGGAAUUACUGGGCGUAAAGCGUGCGCAGGCGGUGAUGUAAGACAGGUGUGAGAUCCCCGGGCUUAACCUGGGAACUGCAUUUGUGACUGCAUCGCUGGAGUGCGGCAGAGGGGGAUGGAAUUCCGCGUGUAGCAGUGAAAUGCGUAGAUAUGCGGAGGAACACCGAUGGCGAAGGCAAUCCCCUGGGCCUGCACUGACGCUCAUGCACGAAAGCGUGGGGAGCAAACAGGAUUAGACUACCGUUGUAGU
rnacentral:rRNA from 1 species